UAAAAUUAUUUAAACGAUAUAUCCCGAAAAUAUAAGAUCUAAGAGUAGUGAUAGUUAUAGAUUAAAAUUUAAGGUGCUGUAGCAUUAGCUCACAAUAAAUAAUACCUUAGUGGUGAAAGGCCUUCAAUUAUAUUGAUAGCUGGAUAACUGUUAAAUAUAUUAAGUUUAUAAUAAACCUACGAAGUGAUAAGAUUUCGUAGAAGGAAUUUGGUGUAUAUUUUUAACUACCAAUAUCUAAUAAAUAAAAGUGCUUAACUUUAAAAAAUAAUUUUACAUAAAAACAUUCUUGAGUAACAGUUGAUCUAAUUUAGUUAACUAAAAGUUUAAUAAUGUAUAAAUAAGUAUAUUAUAUUAAUUUAACUAAAUAAACUCGGCAAAUACUAUGUACGACUGUUUAACAAAAACAUAGCCAGUAGUAAAUAAAUUACUGGUGUAACCUGCCCAGUGAAUUUUUUUAACGGCCGCAGUACUAUGACUGUGCAAAGGUAGCAUAAUCAUUUGACUUUUAAUUGAAGUCUGGCAUGAAAGGAUAAACGUAUAUAAGCUGUAUCUAGUAUAAAUUUAUAUAAAUUAUUUAUAGAGUGAAAAUACUCUAACUAAGAAAAAUAGACGAGAAGACCCUUAGAAUUUUAAGAAUAGUUAUAAGCUUAAAAUAAAAUGAUUUUUGUUGGGGCAACACUUUUUCAUUUAAUAAAAAAUUAAUAUUAUAACACAACGAAAAGUUUAAUAAAGAAUAAAUUACCUUAGGGAUAACAGCAUAAUUUUAAGUAAAGAUUGUGACCUCGAUGUUGGACUAGGAACUAUUAAGGCUAAUCGUCUUAAUAUAAUAUGUUCUGUUCGAACUUUGUUUCCUA
rnacentral:rRNA from 1 species